CUGAAUUGCUUUUAAGCGGCACCAGAUAGGGUUGAUUUUGAAGGCUACAUGUGGACGCAGAUAUUUUUGAGAACUAAAACGUGUGGACAGAUACAUUUAUUUAGACGGGAGUACAAAAAUAUCCUAAUAAAUAAAUAUCUAUAUACGUGUUGUCCGGGCCUUAGUCUGUGUUUUUCUCUCACUUGGCUUUAGUGAAACACUUUCAUGAUCAGUUUUCUGCUUCGGUUCAUGAUGUUACUCACUUAUAUGUCC